rnacentral:rRNA from 1 species
CGUUCCCGGGCCUUGUACACACCGCCCGUCACACCACGAAAGUCGGCAACACCCGAAGCCGGUGGCCCAACCUACUUGUAGGAGGGAGCCGUCGAAGGUGGGGUCGGUGAUUGGGGUG